CCUACGGGGGUCAGCAGUGGGGAAUAUUGGACAAUGGGGGGAACCCUGAUCCAGCCAUGCCGCGUGUGUGAAGAAGGCCCUCGGGUUGUAAAGCACUUUCAGUGAGGAAGAACGCCUGGUGGUUAAUACCCAUCAGGAAAGACAUCACUCACAGAAGAAGCACCGGCUAACUCCGUGCCAGCAGCCGCGGUAAUACGGAGGGUGCGAGCGUUAAUCGGAAUUACUGGGCGUAAAGCGCGCGUAGGUGGCUUGAUAAGCCGGUUGUGAAAGCCCCGGGCUCAACCUGGGAACGGCAUCCGGAACUGUCAAGCUAGAGUGCAGGAGAGGAAGGUAGAAUUCCCGGUGUAGCGGUGAAAUGCGUAGAGAUCGGGAGGAAUACCAGUGGCGAAGGCGGCCUUCUGGACUGACACUGACACUGAGGUGCGAAAGCGUGGGUAGCAAACAGGAUUAGAUACCCGUGUAGUC
rnacentral:rRNA from 1 species